rnacentral:rRNA from 1 species
UACGAAGGGGGCGAGCGUUAUUCGGAAUCACUGGGCGUAAAGCGUGCGUAGGCUGUUUUGUAAGUUGGAAGUGAAAGCCCAGGGCUCAACCCUGGAAUUGCUUUCAAAACUACAAGACUCGAAUCUCGGAGAGGAUAGCGGAAUUUCCAGUGUAGUAGUGAAAUACGUAGAUAUUGGAAGGAACACCAGUGGCGCAAGCGGCUAUCUGGACGAGUAUUGACGCUGAGGCACGAAAGCUAGGGGAGCAAACAGG